rnacentral:rRNA from 1 species
CAGUGAAACGGUUUUUCCGCCUAAAGAGAAGCUUGCGGCUGAUUAGCUUGUUGGUAAGGUAAUGGCUUACCAAGGCGACGAUCAGUAUCUGGUUUGAGAGGACGAUCAGACACACUGGAACUGAGACACGGUCCAGACUCCUACGGGAGGCAGCAGUGGGGAAUUUUCCGCAAUGGGCGAAAGCCUGACGGAGCAAUACCGCGUGAGGGAUGAAUGCCUAUGGGUUGUAAACCUCUUUUUUCAGGGAGGAACAAAAUGACGUGUACCUGAAGAAUAAGCAUCGGCUAACUCCGUGCCAGCAGCCGCGGUAAGACGGAGGAUGCAAGUGUUAUCCGGAAUCACUGGGCGUAAAGCGUCUGUAGGUGGUUUAAUAAGUCAACUGUUAAAUCUUGAGGCUCAACCUCGAAACCGCAGUCGAAACUAUUAGACU